GACGAACGCUGGCGGCGUGCCUAAUACAUGCAAGUCGAGCGAAGCGGCGGAUGGGUGAGUAAUGCGUGGGUAACCUGCCCUUAAGUCUGGGAUACUAUUUGGAAACAGAUGCCAAUACCGGAUACUUAAGGAUGGGCUUGCGAUGCAUUAGCUAGUUGGUAAGGUAACGGCUUACCAAGGCGAUGAUGCAUAGCCGAGUUGAGAGGCUGAUCGGCCACACUGGAACUGAGACACGGCCCAGACUCCUACGGGAGGCAGCAGUAGGGAAUCUUCCACAAUGGACGAAAGUCUGAUGGAGCAACGCCGCGUGAGUGAAGAAGGUUUUCGGAUCGUAAAGCUCUGUUGUUGGUGAAGCGGUAAUCAACCAGAAAGUCACGGCUAACUACGUGCCAGCAGCCGCGGUAAUUC
rnacentral:rRNA from 1 species